GACGAACGCUGGCGGCGUGCUUAACACAUGCAAGUCGAACGGAAAGGCCCUGCUUUUGUGGGGUGCUCGAGUGGCGAACGGGUGAGUAACACGUGAGUAACCUGCCCUUGACUUUGGGAUAACUUCAGGAAACUGGGGCUAAUACCGGAUAGGAGCUCCUGCUGCAUGGUGGGGGUUGGAAAGUUUCGGCGGUUGGGGAUGGACUCGCGGCUUAUCAGCUUGUUGGUGGGGUAGUGGCUUACCAAGGCUUGGACGGGUAGCCGGCCUGAGAGGGUGACCGGCCACAUUGGGACUGAGAUACGGCCCAGACUCCUACGGGAGGCAGCAGUGGGGAAUAUUGCACAAUGGGCGGAAGCCUGAUGCAGCAACGCCGCGUGCGGGAUGACGGCCUUCGGGUUGUAAACCGCUUUCGCCUGUGACGAAGCGUGAGUGACGGUAAUGGGUAAAGAAGCACCGGCUAACUACGU
rnacentral:rRNA from 1 species